UAGUCAUAUGCUUGUCUCAAAAAUUAACACAUGCAUGUCUAAGUAUAAAUAGUAUACAGUGAAACUGCGAAUGGCUCAUUAAAACAGUUAUAGUUUAUUUGAUAAUGGAAAGCUACAUGGAUAACCGUGGUAAUUCUAGAGCUAAUACAUGCUGUCAAGCCCGACUUUUUGGAAGGGUUGUAUUUAUUAGAUAUCAAGCCAAUAUUCCUUCGGGUCUAUUGUGGUGAAUCAUAGUAACUGAUCGAAUCCCUUCUUGGGAUAAAUCAUUCAAGUUUCUGCCCUAUCAGCUUUCGAUGGUAGUGUAUUGGACUACCAUGGCAGUCACGGGUAACGGAGAAUUAGGGUUCGAUUCCGGAGAGGGAGCCUGAGAAACGGCUACCACAUCUACGGAAGGCAGCAGGCGCGAAAAUUGCCCAAUCCCGACACGGGGAGGCAGUGACAAGAAAUAACAACUCUUGGAUUUCUAAGAAGUGUGAUGAGGAUAAUUUACAACCCUUACCGAAAGCAAUU
rnacentral:rRNA from 1 species